rnacentral:rRNA from 1 species
AUGACACUCACAUCGCCAAGGUCCAUCGCAGUGAGCCAGACGUUCGGCGUGCUAAUUGGCUGCGUCGUCUCGCCGGGAACAUUUUGGAUCUUCUACUCGGUCGUCAAAGGAUUUGGUGUGGACAGCUCGGAGUACGCCUUGAAGCCGAGUCUCUUGUACCGCAACGUAGCCAACCUGAGUGUGCACGGAAUCGAGUCGCUGCCCAGGCACUGCAUAUUGCUCUUUGUUCUGCUCUUCAUGGUUGCCAUCUUGAUCAACUUGGUGAGAGAUCUUGCAGGGCCAAGGGUGGCCAGGGUUGUGCCUCUGCCGAUGGCCAUGGCAAUUCCAAUGUACUUUCACUCUCGGUUCGUCAUCGACAUGUGCGUGGGCAGACUCAUCCUGUUCGUGUGGGAAUGCGUGCACGGCGCCACCGCCAGGGAGCUUGGGCCGACUGUCGCGUCUGGUCUGAUGUGCGGCGACGCAAUAUGGCUCGUCGUAAAGUCGGUUCUCAGCCUCACAGGGAUUUUGCCGCCUAUCUGCAUGCGGUUCUUCUCUCGUUCUACCAACAACUUGGUGGAAGGGUAUCUGCAGAGGGGCUCGCCCUAG